rnacentral:rRNA from 1 species
AGGUCAUUCAAAUUUCUGCCCUAUCAACUUUCGAUGGUAAGGUAUUGGCUUACCAUGGUUUCAACGGGUAACGGGGAAUUAGGGUUCCAUUCCGGAGAGGGAGCCUGAGAAACGGCUACCACAUCCAAGGAAGGCAGCAGGCGCGCAAAUUACCCAAUCCCGACCGGGGAGGUAGUGACAAUAAAUACUGAUACAGGGCUCUUUUGGGUCUUGUAAUUGGAAUGAGUACAAUUUAAACCUCUUAACGAGGAACAAUUGGAGGGCAAGUCUGGUGCCAGCAGCCGCGGUAAUUCCAGCUCCAAUAGCGUAUAUUAAAGUUGUUGCAGUUAAAAAGCUCGUAGUUG